rnacentral:rRNA from 1 species
GCUUCCGCCUGCCGGCGACCGGCGCACGGGUGAGUAACGCGUAUGCAACCUGCCCGGACCAGCGGGAUAACCCGGGGAAACCCGGCCUAAUACCGCACGGCGCCGCUUUGGGGCAUCCCAUUGCGGCUAAAGAUUUAUCGGGUCCGGAUGGGCAUGCGUGGCAUUAGCUGGUUGGCGGGGUAACGGCCCACCAAGGCUGCGAUGCCUAGGGGUUCUGAGAGGAAGGUCCCCCACACUGGUACUGAGACACGGACCAGACUCCUACGGGAGGCAGCAGUGAGGAAUAUUGGUCAAUGGGCAUAAGCCUGAACCAGCCAAGUCGCGUGAGGGACGACGGCCCUACGGGUUGUACACCUCUUUUGCCGGGGGACAAACGGCGGCACGCGUGCCGUCCUGAGGGUACCCGGAGAAAAAGCAUCGGCUAACUCCGUGCCAGCAGCCGCGGUAAUACGGAGGAUGCGAGCGUUAUCCGGAUUUAUUGGGUUUAAAGGGUGCGUAGGCGGGAUGCCAAGUCAGCGGUCAAAUACGGGGGCUCAACCUGCGUCCGCCGUUGAAACUGGCGUUCUUGAGUGGGCGAGAAGUACGCGGAAUGCGUGGUGUAGCGGUGAAAUGCAUAGAUAUCACGCAGAACCCCGAUUGCGAAGGCAGCGUACCGGCGCCCGACUGACGCUGAAGCACGAAAGCGUGGGUAUCGAACAGGAUUAAAUACCCUGGUAGUCCACGCAGUAAACGAUGAACACUAAUUGUCCGGCGG